AGGGUUUGACAUGCAGGGAUUAACCCCAUGAAAGUGGGGGGAUUGCCUUCGGGUGUAACCUGCAACACCUGUCAGGGGCCCUUACGGACCCUACAUCUCUGUAGGUUUUCCCCUGAUGUCAAGCCCAGGUAAGGUUCUUCGCGUUGCCUCGAAUUAAGCCACAUGCUCCGCCGCUUGUGCGGGUCCCCGUCAAUUCCUUUGAGUUUUAGCCUUGCGGCCGUACUCCCCAGGCGGGGUGCUUAAUGCGUUUGCGACGGCACGGAAGGGGUUGAUGCCUCCCACACCUAGCACCCAACGUUUACGGCUGGGACUAC
rnacentral:misc_RNA from 1 species